GUAGGUGGCAAGCGUUGUCCGGAUUUAUUGGGGCGUAAAGCGAGCGCAGGCGGUUUCUUAAGUCUGAUGUGAAAGCCCCCCGGGCUCAACCGGGGGAGGGGUCAUUGGAAACUGGGAGACUUGAGUGCAGAAGAGGAGAGUGGAAUUCCAUGUGUAGCGGUGAAAUGCGUAGAUAUAUGGAGGAACACCAGUGGCGAAGGCGGCUCUCUGGUCUGUAACUGACGCGGAGGCUCGAAAGCGUGGGGAGCGAACAGGAUUAGAUACCCUGGUAGUCCACGCCGUAAACGAUGAGUGCUAAGUGUUGGAGGGUUUCCGCCCUUCAGUGCUGCAGCAAACGCAUUAAGCACUCCGCCUGGGGAGUACGACCGCAAGGUUG
rnacentral:rRNA from 1 species